GAGUGGGAAGAGCUCCGGGUAGAAGUGAUAGACUUACCGAACCUGGUGAUAGCUGGUUGCCUAGAAAAUGAAUAGAAGUUCAGCCUCGUCCACCCUUUGUCAGAGAAUAUAUUGUUAAGACACCUUGGAAAUAUACGAGAGUUAGUUGAAGGGGGUACAGCCCCUUUAACAAAGGAUACAACCUUCGCAGGAGGAUAAAGAUCAUAAU
rnacentral:rRNA from 1 species